UGUGUGUGUGUGGGUGUGUGUGUGUAUAUAUAUAUAUAUAUAUAUAUAUAUACACACACACCCACACACACACACA
rnacentral:miRNA from 1 species